rnacentral:ncRNA from 1 species
GCUACAAAGUUUUUAGAAAUAAUGUGUAUUGGAGAAGUAAAUAUAUGAAUAUCUUUGAACAUUCUCUGUCUAAGCCAUCUUAACCCUAGUUUUUUUGUGUGUGUCAGGAGUGACUUGAGAAACUGUAAGUCGCUUCUGGUGUGAGAGAAUUGGCUGUCUGCAAGGACAUUACCCAGGAGAUGCCUGGAUGUUUGAUGUUUCACCAUCCUUGUGGGAGGUUUCUCUCAUGUCCCCACAUGGGGAAUCUGGAGCUGACAGAGGGAGCUCACCUGCUCUCUCUGGGAUUCGAACAGCUGACCUAUUGGUCAGCAGUCGGUUAGCUCAUAGUGCCACUGGGGGAUGAUACAAACUAGAGCACAAGUAUUUGCCACAAAUGUUUUCAUUCAUCAAGAAUGAAAGUCGGAGGUUUGAAGACAAUCAGAUACCAUAAAUGAUGCCAAGUAGCGAUCCGGCAGCAUUACUCCCAUGACCUGCCGGGAACCUUCUGGGAAACCAAAGUCUUUGAGUUC